GGGCUACACACGUGCUACAAUGGCGGUGACAGUGGGAAGCCAGGUAGUGAUACCGAGCCGAUCUCAAAAAGCCGUCUCAGUUCGGAUUGCACUCUGCAACUCGAGUGCAUGAAGGUGGAAUCGCUAGUAAUCGCGGAUCAGCAUGCCGCGGUUAA
rnacentral:rRNA from 1 species